CACGUAGGGGCAGCAGUCGUUCGGAUUCGAUUUGGUGCGUAAAGAGCUCGUAGGCUGUUCGAUAAGUCGGGUGUGAAACCUCCAGGCUCAACCUGGAGACGCCACCCGAUACUGUCAUGACUAGAGUCCGGUAGGGGAGCGUGGAAUUCCUGGUGUAGCGGUGAAAUGCGCAGAUAUCAGGAGGAACACCAGCGGCGAAGGCGGCGCUCUGGGCCGGUACUGACGCUGAGGAGCGAAAGCGUGGGUAGCAAACAGG
rnacentral:rRNA from 1 species